rnacentral:rRNA from 1 species
UACAGAGGUGGCAAGCGUUGUUCGGAAUUACUGGGCGUAAAGGGCGCGUAGGCGGUUCGUUAAGUCCUGUGUGAAAUCCCCCGGCUCAACUGGGGAACUGCACAGGAAACUAGCGGGCUUGAGUUCGGGAGAGGGAAGCGGAAUUCCGGGUGUAGCGGUGAAAUGCGUAGAUAUCUGGAGGAACACCGGUGGCGAAGGCGGCGUUCUGGACUGCUACUGACACUGAGGAACGAAAGCCAGGGGAGCAAACGGG